AUUGAACGCUGGCGGCAUGCUUUACACAUGCAAGUCGAACGGCAGCACAGGGAGCUUGCUCCUGGGUGGCGAGUGGCGAACGGGUGAGUAAUGUAUCGGAACGUGCCUGGUAGUGGGGGAUAACUACUCGAAAGAGUGGCUAAUACCGCAUGAGAUCUUUGGAUGAUAGCGGGGGACCUUCGUGCCUCGUGCUACUGGAGCGGCCGAUAUCAGAUUAGGUUGUUGGUGGGGUAAAGGCCUACCAAGCCUGCGAUCUGUAGCUGGUCUGAGAGGACGACCAGCCACACUGGGACUGAGACACGGCCCAGACUCCUACGGGAGGCAGCAGUGGGGAAUUUUGGACAAUGGGCGCAAGCCUGAUCCAGCAAUGCCGCGUGCAGGACGAAGGCCUUCGGGUUGUAAACUGCUUUUGUACAGAACGAAAAGUCUCUGGCUAAUAUCUAGAGAUCAUGACAGUACUGUAAGAAUAAGCACCGGCUAACUACGUG
rnacentral:rRNA from 1 species